rnacentral:misc_RNA from 1 species
GGACGAGGAGGCGAUCGCCAUCUUCGGCCAGAACCUGGAAGCGCUCCUGCUCUCGCCCCCGGCGGGCGGAAGGAUCGUACUCGGGGUGGAUCCGGGCUUCCGUACCGGGUGCAAGCUCGCCGUCGUGAGCCGCACCGGCGCCGUCCUCGAGACUGGCGUCGU